GCCGGGCGACGUGGCAGGCGCCUGUAGUCCCAGCUACUCGGGAGGCUGAGGCAGGAGAAUGGCGUAAACCCGGGAGGCGGAGCUUGCAGUGAGCUGAGAUCCGGCCACUGCACUCCAGCCCGGGGACAGAGCGAGAUUCCGUCUCAAAAAAAAAAAAAAAAAAAAAAAGAAACGGAGUCUCGCUCUGCCGCCCAGGCUGGAGUGCAGUGGUGGGAUCUCAGCUCACUGCAAGCUCCGCCUCCCAGGUUCAUGCCAUUCUCCUGCCUCAG
rnacentral:SRP_RNA from 1 species